rnacentral:rRNA from 1 species
GACGAACGCUGGCGGCGUGCCUAAUACAUGCAAGUCGAGCGAGCUUGCCUAGAUGAAUUUGGUGCUUGCACCAAAUGAAACUAGAUACAAGCGAGCGGCGGACGGGUGAGUAACACGUGGGUAACCUGUCCAAGAGACUGGGAUAACACCUGGAAACAGAUGCUAAUACCGGAUAACAACACUAGACGCAUGUCUAGAGUUUAAAAGAUGGUUCUGCUAUCACUCUUGGAUGGACCUGCGGUGCAUUAGCUAGUUGGUAAGGUAACGGCUUACCAAGGCAAUGAUGCAUAGCCGAGUUGAGAGACUGAUCGGCCACAUUGGGACUGAGACACGGCCCAAACUCCUACGGGAGGCAGCAGUAGGGAAUCUUCCACAAUGGACGCAAGUCUGAUGGAGCAACGCCGCGUGAGUGAAGAAGGGUUUCGGCUCGUAAAGCUCUGUUGGUAGUGAAGAAAGAUAGAGGUAGUAACUGGCCUUUAUUUGACGGUAAUUACUUAGAAAGUCACGGCUAACUACGUGCCAGCAGCCGCGGUAAUACGUAGGUGGCAAGCGUUGUCCGGAUUUAUUGGGCGUAAAGCGAGUGCAGGCGGUUCAAUAAGUCUGAUGUGAAAGCCUUCGGCUCAACCGGAGAAUUGCAUCAGAAACUGUUGAACUUGAGUGCAGAAGAGGAGAGUGGAACUCCAUGUGUAGCGGUGGAAUGCGUAGAUAUAUGGAAGAACACCAGUGGCGAAGGCGGCUCUCUGGUCUGCAACUGACGCUGAGGCUCGAAAGCAUGGGGUAGCGAACAGG